rnacentral:tRNA from 1 species
GGUGCCUUGGCUUAGUUAGCUAAAGCACCUCUCUAGUAAACAGGAGAUCCUGGGUCUGAAUCCCAGUGGUGCCU